AUUGAACGCUGGCGGCAGGCUUAACACAUGCAAGUCGAACGCGUGGCGGACGGGUGAGUAAUGCUUGGGAAUCUCGCUUAUGGAGGGGGAUAACUACGGGACACUGUAGCUAAUACCGCGUACCAUAGGAUGAGCCCAAGUGGGAUUAGGUAGUUGGUUAGGUAAAGGAUCACCAAGCCGCCGAUCUCUAGCUGGUCUGAGAGGAUGACCAGGCACACUUGGACUGAGACACGGCCCAGACUCCUCCGGGAGGCAGCAGUGGGGAAGAUUGCGCAAUGGGGGCAACCCUGACGCAGCCAUGCCGCGUGUAUGAAGAAGGCCCUAGGGUUGUAAAGUACUUUCAGUCGGGAGGCGUUACCGACAGAAGAAGCACCGGCUAACUCCGUGCCAGCAGCCGCGGUAAUUC
rnacentral:rRNA from 1 species